CGCGGGUUGCAGGUUCGCUUCGUGCGUCCCCUCGCGGGAGUGUCGCAAUUCAGCCCGGGCCUGUUCCGGCGUCCGCACUUCCGACUGGGUAGCUGAAUUGGAGAAAAAAGAAAGUCCAAAGAUGACAUGAACAGAUAUGGCAUUUUGGGGCAUCCCUGUCCUGGGCUGAUUUCUGAGAGGAGUCAUAAGUUAUUGCAAUUUGUCAGUUCUGGAGACUGGGAAUCCAAGAUCAAGGCCAAUUUGGAUUCUGGUAAUAUUAUAUUGUCCAGCUUGAAAUGACUCCUACUGGCAAAAGAAGAAAUACUUGGCUCACCAAAGACAAUUAAACUAAUUAAGUAUGUUAAAAACACAUGAAUUCUUAAUAUUGCUUAAAAAAAAA